UGAUGAGCAUAAGGAAUGGUGAUGAUUGAUUGAUUUUUUUUUUUCAAAUGAUCCAAAAAUUAUAAUCCUUAUUCGCUACGUUCUUUCUGAUUCAUUC